AGCUUUGUGCAGUGGCAGUAUCAUAGCCAAUGAGGUUUAUCCAAGGCACGAUUAUUGCUAAUUGAAAACUGUGACAACUUACAAUAUAGUUGGCACUGACAAUUUUUGACAGUCUCUGUGGAGA
rnacentral:snRNA from 1 species